rnacentral:rRNA from 1 species
GGACUACAGGGGUAUCUAAUCCUGUUUGAUCCCCUUGCUUUCGCGCUUUAGCGUCAGGAAUAAGCUAGAAAACCGCCUUCGCCACCGGUGUUCUUCCACAUAUCUACGCAUUUCACCGCUACUUGUGGAAUUCCGUUUUCUCCGCCUACCCUCAAGAGAUAGAGUUUCAAAUGCUGUUCCGAGGUUGAGCCCCGGGAUUUCACAUCUGACUUUUAUCUCCGCCUACGCGCCCUUUACGCCCAAUAAAUCCGAUUAAUGCUUGCACCCUCCGUAUUACCGCGGCUGCUGGCAC